CCGGGGUGGCUUAAACAGGCAAGUCGAGCGGGUAAGGCUCCUUCGGGGGUACACGAGCGGCGAACGGGUGAGUAACAUGUGGGUGACCUGCCCUCAGCUCUGGGAUAAGCCCGGGAAACUGGGUCUAAUACCGGAUAUGACCACUUCACGCAUGUGAUGGUGGUGGAAAGUUCCGGCGGUGAUGGAUGAGCUCGCGGCCUAUCAGCUUGUUGGUGGGGUAAUGGCCUACCAAGGCUUCGACGGGUAGCCGGCCUGAGAGGGUGACCGGCCACACUGGGACUGAGACACGGCCCAGACUCCUACGGGAGGCAGCAGUGGGGAAUAUUGGACAAUGGGCGAAAGCCUGAUCCAGCAACGCCGCGUGAGGGAUGACGGCCUUCGGGUUGUAAACCUCUUUCAGCAGGGACGAAGCGCAAGUGACGGUACCUGCAGAAGAAGCGCCGGCCAACUACGUGCCAGCAGCCGCGGUAAUA
rnacentral:rRNA from 1 species